rnacentral:rRNA from 1 species
GCUUAACGCGAAGAACCUUACCAGGUCUUGACAUCCUCUGCCAACCCUAGAGAUAGGGCGUUCCCCUUCGGGGGACAGAGUGACAGGUGGUGCAUGGUUGUCGUCAGCUCGUGUCGUGAGAUGUUGGGUUAAGUCCCGCAACGAGCGCAACCCUUGAUCUUAGUUGCCAGCAUUCAGUUGGGCACUCUAAGGUGACUGCCGGUGACAAACCGGAGGAAGGUGGGGAUGACGUCAAAUCAUCAUGCCCCUUAUGACCUGGGCUACACACGUGCUACAAUGGAUGGUACAAAGAGCUGCGAACCCGCGAGGGUAAGCCAAUCUCAUAAAGCCAUUCUCAGUUCGGAUUGUAGGCUGCAACUCGCCUACAUGAAGCCGGAAUCGCUAGUAAUCGCGGAUCAGCAUGCCGCGGUGAAUACGUUCCCGGGUCUUGUACACACCG